AAUUGCGACCCCAGGUCAGGCG
rnacentral:rRNA from 1 species